rnacentral:rRNA from 1 species
GACGAACGCUGGCGGCGUGCCUAAUACAUGCAAGUCGAGCGGACGGAUGGGAGCUUGCUCCCAGACCGUCAGCGGCGGACGGGUGAGUAACACGUGGGCAACCUGCCUGUAAGACUGGGAUAACUCCGGGAAACCGGGGCUAAUACCGGAUAACUCUUUCCCUCACAUGAGGGAAAGCUGAAAGAUGGCAUCUCGCUAUCACUUACAGAUGGGCCCGCGGCGCAUUAGCUAGUUGGUGAGGUAACGGCUCACCAAGGCGACGAUGCGUAGCCGACCUGAGAGGGGGAUCGGCCACACUGGGACUGAGACACGGCCCAGACUCCUACGGGAGGCAGCAGUAGGGAAUCUUCCGCAAUGGGCGAAAGUCUGACGGAGCAACGCCGCGUGAGUGAUGAAGGUUUUCGGAUCGUAAAACUCUGUUGUCAGGGAAGAACAAGUACCGGAGUAACUGCCGGUACCUUGACGGUACCUGACCAGAAAGCCACGGCUAACUACGUG